GAUGAACGCUGGCGGCGUGCUUAACACAUGCAAGUCGAACGAUGAAGCCCAGCUUGCUGGGUGGAUUAGUGGCGAACGGGUGAGUAACACGUGAGUAACCUGCCCUUGACUCUGGGAUAAGCCUGGGAAACUGGGUCUAAUACUGGAUAUGACUUCUCAUCGCAUGGUGGGGGGUGGAAAGAUUUAUUGGUCUUGGAUGGACUCGCAGCCUAUCAGCUUGUUGGUGAGGUAAUGGCUCACCAAGGCGACGACGGGUAGCCGGCCUGAGAGGGUGACCGGCCACACUGGGACUGAGACACGGCCCAGACUCCUACGGGAGGCAGCAGUGGGGAAUAUUGCACAAUGGGCGCAAGCCUGAUGCAGCGACGCCGCGUGAGGGAUGACGGCCUUCGGGUUGUAAACCUCUUUCAGUAGGGAAGAAGCGAGAGUGACGGUACCUGCAGAAGAAGCGCCGGCUAACUACGUG
rnacentral:rRNA from 1 species